CCUAAUUACUCUCGACAAGAACAGCCCCCUGAACGUAAAAGUACUGACCGACGUUCAAACUAGCCAAUCGUCGAUAAGUUACAUACGAUCCGGCCAAUGAGAGAAAAGAAUAGUUAAGAAGGUUAAAUAGAGUUCGUUGGUAACGUUAGUUGUGUAGUAAUCCUGCGGUUCAUUUUAAAUUGUUUAAAAACAUUUAUAUAAAACGGGGCAAAACAUCAUUGGUCUGUUUCAACACUUCUACAGCACGAACCACGACGCGACUGCUGCAGACAGCGUAAAGAGAGGACAGGAAAGUACAGAUACAGGACCUCGGUUGCUGAAAGUACACCAUCGCCUCCAACAGCAGUUUUCUUUGUCGACAUCCAGUCUCUCUAUUCUUACACCAAACACAAAGACGUGAGACUGGAGGACAGAGCGCUGUGUGCACAUGACAGAUGUGACAUUUAGAGGACAUUUCACUUCUCUCCUGUAUGUUUCUGUGCUUUGUCUACAUGACUGUGUAGUGGAGUCUACUGGAUGACAUUUCUGUCAGUUUGUUUGAUGUAUCUGUUGGUUUGCUGUGUGAUCACAGAGAAUAAUGUUUUACUGAAUCUACAUGUCAAUCUGUGUGUUCUGGGGUGAAACGGCAAUAAAACAUUUUCCUUUUUUGUUUGAUAUUAGAAGACUAAUGCAGUAGCAUUUGUAUUCAGGUAUAAGUAAUUCAGUAAAUAUGUCAUAGGUAUUGAGGAGCUCAGAUGCAAAAUCCUUUAAACGCCACCUCUGUCAAAAAUGAAAUAAUGAUAUUAACCGAAUGCUUUCGACACUUGACACUGCUUGAUUCUGAUUGGCCAGCUGUGACAUUCCAAGGUAUGUUAUUCUAAGAUGACAACCGCCUGAAACUAAUAAAACACGGCUGGAAAUCAUUUUUUACAGGUACAGUUUAAAGGCAGGAUAGGCAGGAAUUGUCUAAAAAACUUUUUUCCAAAUUUGUUAAACUGUCUUUAUAUACCAAUACAUAAGUAAAAUGUAAGUACUCUGAAAAAGAGAGUAUAAAACUCGAGUGUCUGUAGACCUUUUAAGAGCUAAUUAUUUCCAUUCGGGACGAAACAAAUGAUUGGCUUGCGCGACUGUCACUCUCUCUUGCGACCAUGGCACCACCCCUGUUGCUAUGGGAUCUGCCCACACAUGCGCACACCCGAUUGAUUUGAGCGUGCACAAGGCACAUUAGGAAGAGCAAAAUACGGCAGAGAAAGAGCAUUCAGAACUCACAGUACCUGCAUAUGCAGUCAGUGAAGGCAAACGAGGCAAAAAAUAGGAAUAAACGAAGAAAUCAAACGAGAGUAAAUAUCGCGGGGCUUUUCCUCGAUAUACUCAUAGCUUUUCAUAGAUAUGAGUGUUGUUUUGCUGUUCGUUUUUUCUUCAUUUAUGCUACUGCAGUUGUUUUUUGUUAUCAUUGUAGCUUAUUAUUGUUGUGGGAAAGUGCAAGAGCUCAUCUUUUCACCUCACAAGAUUUGAUUACUUGAUCACCAUUAUUGAGACUUGUGUGUUCAGUGUUGAGGUCUCUGUGUGAAGUUUACACCUGUGUUUCUUGAUGUUACCUUUGCUUUGCAAGGCAUAUUCUUUUUUUUGAGAGGCAAAGAUUGCAGAGUUCUUUUAACAUUACAAGUUUUAUAAAACUAUGUUAAAAUAAGUUUCUCAUAUUGUUAACUGACCAUUUGUAGAAAAGGAAAUGUUUAGUUAAUCAAACAAGGAUAUAUUACUGGAACAAGACGUUUUACAUUCAGUUUAUGAAAAUUUUAAAUGGCCUGUUCAGCAAUUUUAAGUAGAUUUAACUUAAAAUUACUUGUUUGUUUAACUUAAAAUUACUUGUUUGUUUAACAAACGUUUUUAGGGCAGCGAGUUACCCUAUGUUUAUUAAGUAGAAUCAACUUGUCUGGGCAAAUAUGUCUUUUAAUAACAUUUAUGA